AUGAGUAUGUUUCCAGAAGAUAUAGUGGCCCGGAGAGAUCAGGUUAUAUGGAUGUGGAUAGCUGAAGGCUUUGUCCAUCAUGGAACACAGGAAACAAGAUCACUAUAUGAUGUUGGAGAGACCUACUUCAAUGAUGUUAUAAAUAGAAACAUGAUGCAACCAUUAUACCUUAAUGAUGAAGGCAGGGCAGAUGAUUGUCGUGUGCAUGAUAUGGUUCUUGAUGUAAUAUGCUCAAUGUCAAGUGAAGAAAACUUCGUUAAAAUAUUGAAUGGUAUAGAUCCAAGAACACAUAAUCCACACAGAAUGGUUCGCAUGUCAUCAUUUCAGAAUAGCAUGUCACAGCUCACCAACCCUCGGGUGUCGACCAUACUCAUGGCACAAGUGAGGUCUGUUACUUUCUGUAGUGUGAUUGAUGACCAAAUCCAGUCUGUUUGGCAAAUGGGUUGUCUGAAAUUCUCGCACCAGCUCCCCUCCCUCUCCCGAGGUGCUCCCGCGAGCGUCGUCGGGAGACAACCCUAG
rnacentral:rRNA from 1 species